CGCCUGUUUAACAAAAACAUGUCUUUUUGAUAAUAAUUUAAAGUCUAGCCUGCCCACUGAAUAAUUAAAUGGCCGCGGUAUUUUGACCGUGCAAAGGUAGCAUAAUCAUUAGUUUUUUAAUUGAAAGCUGGAAUGAAAGGUUGGAUGAAAAAAAAACUGUUUUUAUUUAAUUUAAAGUAGAAUUUUAUUUUUUAGUUAAAAAGCUAAAAUAUAAUUAAAAGACGAGAAGACCCUAUAGAGUUUUAUAUUUUUAAAAAUAUAAAAUUUUUAGAAUUUUAUUUUUAAUUUGAAAAAUUUAUUUAGUUGGGGUGAUUAAAAAAUUAAAAAAACUUUUUUAUAUUUAUACAUAAAUGAAUGAAUUUUUGAUCCAUAAAUAAUGAUUAAAAGAUUAAAUUACCUUAGGGAUAACAGCGUAAUUUUUUUAAAGAGUUCAAAUCGAAAGGAAAAGAUUGCGACCUCGAUGUUGGAUUAAAAUUUAUAUUUGGUGUAGAAGCUAAAAUAUUAGGUCUGUUGCGACCGUUAAAUA
rnacentral:rRNA from 1 species